UACGGAGGGUGCGAGCGUUAAUCGGAAUUACUGGGCGUAAAGCGCAUGCAGGUGGUUCAUUAAGUCAGAUGUGAAAGCCCGGGGCUCAACCUCGGAACUGCAUUUGAAACUGGUGAACUAGAGUACUGUAGAGGGGGGUAGAAUUUCAGGUGGUAGCGGUUGAAAUGCGUAGGAGAAUCUGAAGGAAUACCAGUGGCGAAGGCGGCCCCCUGGACAGCAUACUGACACUCAGAUGCGAAAGCGUGGGGAGCAAAACAGGAUUGAGAUACCCGGGGUAGUCC
rnacentral:rRNA from 1 species